CACAAUAUUAUAAUGAACAUAAUAUUGCACCCACUAUUGAGGUUUGCUGAAAUAUUUUUUUUAUAAUUAGUAAAUUACGUAAAGAGGUGAAUUUUGUGGAGGUGGUUUUUUUCAUAUAUUUCAAUUUUGAAUACACAAUAGAACUACAAAAUGAGGAGGAAGUCACUUUUGAAGUUACUACAACAUGCUUUAAAAACUGUAAGGAAUUUUGUUGAUACCACUGCAGCGAGGUAUGGAAGAUAAGGCUUUUUCUGCAUUAUCUAAUUUGGAAGACGUUGAGCAGAAAAAUGUAAUAUUAAGCACACUUUAAUUACAGAUUAAAAAAUAUAUAUAUAUAUUUAUUCGGUCAUUUCUAUUAUUUCAGUAUUUUAAGUAUUCAAAUUAUGUAUUUUAAGCUUUCGUAUUAUUUAUUAUUCACAUACAUAUGUACAUUUUUUUUUAAAUUUUUUAAUAAGACUCGGUAUCUCGAACUUUUUCCUGUUCCUCUUGAAAUUCGACAUAAUGAUGAUCAGAAAAUUUACUGAAAUAUCUCCAUUGUUAUAGAUUAUACAUUCUUAAAUUUUAAACUUGUUUUACAACAUAUAAUAUUUAUUAUGUUAGAAUAAAUAAA